rnacentral:rRNA from 1 species
GAUGAACGCUAGCUACAGGCUUAACAUAUGCAAGUCGCGGGGCAGCAUGUCGGUUGCUUGCAACCGAUGAUGGCGACCGGCGCACGGGUGAGUAACGCGUAUCCAACCUGCCCUUCACCACGGAAUAAUCCAGUGAAAAUUGGUCUAAUACCGUAUGAGGUCAUACGAUGGCAUCAGAAUAUGACGAAAGGUUUAGCGGUGAAGGAUGGGGAUGCGUCUGAUUAGCUUGUUGGUGAGGUAACGGCUCACCAAGGCGACGAUCAGUAGGGGUUCUGAGAGGAAGGUCCCCCACAUUGGAACUGAGACACGGUCAACUCCUACGGAGGCGAGCAGUGAGGAAUAUU